GAUGAACGCUGGCGGCGUGCCUAAUACAUGCAAGUCGAGCGAACAGACGAGGAGCUUGCUCCUCUGACGUUAGCGGCGGACGGGUGAGUAACACGUGGAUAACCUACCUAUAAGACUGGGAUAACUUCGGGAAACCGGAGCUAAUACCGGAUAAUAUAGUGAACCGCAUGGUUCAAUAGUGAAAGACGGGUUUGCUGUCACUGAUAGAUGGAUCCGCGCCGCAUUAGCUAGUUGGUAAGGUAACGGCUUACCAAGGCAACGAUGCGUAGCCGACCUGAGAGGGUGGUCGGCCACACUGGAACUGAGACACGGUCCAGACUCCUACGGGAGGCAGCAGUAGGGAAUCUUCCGCAAUGGGCGAAAGCUUGACGGAGCAACGCCGCGUGAGUGAUGAAGGUCUUCGGAUCGUAAAACUCUGUUAUUAGGGAAGAACAAAUGUGUAAGUAACUAUGCACGUCUUGACGGUACCUAAUCAGAAAGCCACGGCUAACUACGUG
rnacentral:rRNA from 1 species